GGAAGCGAUCAUACCAGCACUAAAGCACCGGAUCCCUUCAGAACUCUGAAGUUAAGCGUGCUUGGGCGAGAGUAGUACAAGGAUGGGUGACCUCCUGGGAAGUCCUCGUGUUGCAUUCC
rnacentral:rRNA from 1 species